rnacentral:rRNA from 1 species
UGGGGAAUUUUGGACAAUGGGGGAAACCCUGAUCCAGCCAUCCCGCGUGUGCGAUGAAGGCCCUCGGGUUGUAAAGCACUUUUGGCAGGAAAGAAACGUCAUGGGUUAAUACCCCGUGAAACUGACGGUACCUGCAGAAUAAGCACCGGCUAACUACGUGCCAGCAGCCGCGGUAAUACGUAGGGUGCAAGCGUUAAUCGGAAUUACUGGGCGUAAAGCGUGCGCAGGCGGUUCGGAAAGAAAGAUGUGAAAUCCCAGGGCGCAACUUUGGAACUGCAUUUUUAACUACCGGGCUAGAGUGUGUCAGAGGGAGGUGGAAUUCCGCGUGUAGCAGUGAAAUGCGUAGAUAUGCGGAGGAACACCGAUGGCGAAGGCAGCCUCCUGGGAUAACACUGACGCUCAUGCACGAAAGCGUGGGGAGCAAACAGG